UACGGAGGGAGCUAGCGUUAUUCGGAAUUACUGGGCGUAAAGCGCACGUAGGCGGCUUUGUAAGGUAGAGGUGAAAGCCUGGAGCUCAACUCCAGAAUUGCCUUUAAGACUGCAUCGCUUGAAUCCAGGAGAGGUGAGUGGAAUUCCGAGUGUAGAGGUGAAAUUCGUAGAUAUUCGGAAGAACACCAGUGGCGAAGGCGGCUCACUGGACUGGUAUUGACGCUGAGGUGCGAAAGCGUGGGGAGCAAACAGG
rnacentral:rRNA from 1 species